GACGAACGCUGGCGGCGUGCCUAAUACAUGCAAGUAGAACGCUGAAGAGAGGAGCUUGCUCUUCUUGGAUGAGUUGCGAACGGGUGAGUAACGCGUAGGUAACCUGCCUUGUAGCGGGGGAUAACUAUUGGAAACGAUAGCUAAUACCGCAUAACAAUGGAUGACACAUGUCAUUUAUUUGAAAGGGGCAAUUGCUCCACUACAAGAUGGACCUGCGUUGUAUUAGCUAGUAGGUGAGGUAACGGCUCACCUAGGCGACGAUACAUAGCCGACCUGAGAGGGUGAUCGACCAAACUGGGACUGGGACACGGCCCAGACGCCUACGGGAGGCAGCAGUAGGGAAUCUUCGGCAAUGGGGGCAACCCUGACCGAGCAACGCCGCGUGAGGGAAGAAGGUUGUCGGAUCGUAAAGCUCUGUUGUAAGUCAAGAACGAGUGUGAGAGUGGUAAGUUCACACUGUGACGGUAGCUUACCAGAAAGGGACGGCUAACUACGUG
rnacentral:rRNA from 1 species